GCUGGACUGGGCCAAAAUGCUUCUUUUACCAUCCCUGAAUAUAAGUCGUGGUGGCCGAAUGAUACGAGAUAUCAUAGAAUGUUGGAAACAUUACCUCUAAAGGAUUGAACAAGAACACCGUAAAUGUUAUAAAAAAUAACAAUGGCAACAGUUGAAUCGAAUUGUUACCAAUAUAGUAAUAUAACAAAUAGUAUUCUGGAAAUCUCUUGAUUGAAAAGUAGAAAAACAUUCGAACAAAAGAAGUCAAAAUGGGCAGAAAAGAAACAGCAACGUUCAGUCCCUUUUCACCUACCUACAAACUCUAGUUCCAGUUGAAUAUCUCGCUCAGGGAGCUCCAAGUACCUGAGACAGCUAGAACGAGGCCCAGUAGCACGAUCCCAGAGUUGAAAGUCUGUUGCUUCCACCCUAUUUCGUCUUUGAAGACCAUCAGAUGAAACAAAGCAGGCAACACGAAGCCCAACGCACAGCAGACGCUGCUGCCCACCAAUGACAAAAAAUCUGCAAAGUUUGGCACCAAGAGAGCCACCAGGGUCACUGCUAAGACGAGUAGCCAUCUGAGCCACACGCAGUACAUACCACUCUUAAUUAUAUAUUUUCUUUUAUUUUAUAGAUUAUAAAUACAAAUGUUUUUCUAAAAAGUUUAUAUAAGAGCAUUGACCAGAGAUUAUUUGGAAGCAUUAGCAUUUAGUAAAUAUUUUUCUAAAUAAUUUUCUAAUAAUUGUUGAUCGGAUAAUAUAGAUCAUAAUGAUAAUGCUAACUCUCUACCGAUCAAUGUCUAAGUAGUAGUGGCCAAAUGAAACGAGAUAUCAUAGAAUGUUGGAAACAUUACCUCUAAAGCGUUGAACAAGAACACCGUAAAUGUUAUCAAAAAAACAAUGGUAACAGUUGAAUCGAAUGGUUACCAAUAAGUAAUAUAACAAAUAGUAUUCUGGAAAUCUCUUGAUUGAAAAGUAGAAAACGAUUCCAACAAAAGAAGUCAAAAUGGGCAGAAAAGAAACAGCAACGUCCAGUCUCUUUUCACCUACCUACAAACUCUAGUUCCAGUUGAAUAUCUCGCUCAGGGAGCUCCAAGUACCUGAGACAGCUAGAACGAGGCCCAGUAGCACGAUCCCAGAGUUGAAAGUCCGUUGCUUCCACCCUAUUUCGUCUUUGAAGACCAUCAGAUGAAACAAAGCAGGCAACACGAAGCCCAACGCACAGCAGACGCUGCUUCCCACCAAUGACAAAAAAUCUGCAAAGUUUGGCACCAAGAGAGCCACCAGGGUCACAGCUAAGACGAGUAGCCAUCUGAGCCACACGCAGUACAUACCACUCCAAAAACGUCUCUC
rnacentral:lncRNA from 1 species